UGCAAGUCGAACGCUUCUUUUCCCACCGGAGCUUGCUCCACCGGGAAAAGAGGAGUGGCGAACGGGUGAGUAACACGUGGGUAACCUGCCCAUCAGAAGGGGAUAACACUUGGAAACAGGUGCUAAUACCGUAUAACAAUCGAAACCGCAUGGUUUCGUUUUGAAAGGCGCUUUACGGUGCCGCUGAUGGAUGGACCCGCGGUGCAUUAGCUAGUUGGUGAGGUAACGGCUCACCAAGGCCACGAUGCAUAGCCGACCUGAGAGGGUGAUCGGCCACAUUGGGACUGAGACACGGCCCAAACUCCUACGGGAGGCAGCAGUAGGGAAUCUUCGGCAAUGGACGAAAGUCUGACCGAGCAACGCCGCGUGAGUGAAGAAGGUUUUCGGAUCGUAAAACUCUGUUGUUAGAGAAGAACAAGGGUGAGAGUAACUGUUCACCCCUUGACGGUAUCUAACCAGAAAGCCACGGCUAACUACGUGCCAGCAGCC
rnacentral:rRNA from 1 species